CCACAUGUUACCUGAGGAUCUGGUUAAAAGGGUAGAUUCUAAUUUAGUAGGUCAUGGGUGGGGCUUGAGGUUAUGCAUUUUCAACAAGCUCCCAGGUGAUGCUGUU
rnacentral:pre_miRNA from 1 species